GUGGAUGUGGCUCAAGCGGUAGCGAGCUCGCCUGGCUCGCGUGCGUCCGGGGUUCGAUCCUCAGCACCACA
rnacentral:tRNA from 1 species